rnacentral:rRNA from 1 species
UACGGAAGGUCCGGGCGUUAUCCGGAUUUAUUGGGUUUAAAGGGAGCGUAGGCCGGAGAUUAAGCGUGUUGUGAAAUGUAGACGCUCAACGUCUGCACUGCAGCGCGAACUGGUUUCCUUGAGUACGCACAAAGUGGGCGGAAUUCGUGGUGUAGCGGUGAAAUGCUUAGAUAUCACGAAGAACUCCGAUUGCGAAGGCAGCUCACUGGAGCGCAACUGACGCUGAAGCUCGAAAGUGCGGGUAUCGAACAGGAUUAGAUACCCCAGUCCGACUGACUGACU